AGUGAACGCUGGCGGUAGGCCUAACACAUGCAAGUCGAACGGCAGCACAGUAAGAGCUUGCUCUUACGGGUGGCGAGUGGCGGACGGGUGAGGAAUACAUCGGAAUCUACUUUUUCGUGGGGGAUAACGUAGGGAAACUUACGCUAAUACCGCAUACGACCUACGGGUGAAAGCAGGGGAUCUUCGGACCUUGCGCGAUUGAAUGAGCCGAUGUCGGAUUAGCUAGUUGGCGGGGUAAAGGCCCACCAAGGCGACGAUCCGUAGCUGGUCUGAGAGGAUGAUCGGCCACACUGGAACUGAGACACGGUCCAGACUCCUACGGGAGGCAGCAGUGGGGAAUAUUGGACAAAGGGCGCAAGCCUGAUCCAGCCAUACCGCGUGGGUGAAGAAGGCCUUCGGGUCGUAAAGCCCUUUUGUUGGGAAAGAAAAGCAGCAGGUUAAUACCCCGCUGUUCUGACGGUACCCAAAGAAUAAGCACCGGCUAACUUCGUG
rnacentral:rRNA from 1 species